ncrna:unclassified sequences Glutamine riboswitch
GUCGUUCAUCCAUAAGGACGGAAGUAGGGAAACCGAAGGAACGCAUC